GACGAACGCUGGCGGCGUGCUUAACACAUGCAAGUCGAACGGAAAGGCGCUGCUUUUGCUUGGUGCUCGAGUGGCGAACGGGUGAGUAACACGUGAGUAACAUGCCCUUGUCUUUCGGAUAACAUCACGGAACUCCGGCUCAUACCGCAUAGGAGCUCCUGCUCCAUGGUGGGCGAUGGAAAGUGUCGGCGGUUCGGGAUGGUCUCGCGGCUUAUCAGCUUGUUGGUGUGGUAGUGGCUUACCAAGGCUUUGACGGGUAGCCCGCCUGAGAGGGUGACCGGCGACAUUGGGACUGCGAGACGGCGCAGAAGCCUACGGGAGGCAGCAGUGGGGAGUAUGGCAGAAUGGGCGGGCGCCAGAGGCAGCAACGUUGCGAGCGGGAUGACGUCUUUCGGGUUGUAAACAGCUGUCGCCGGAGACGAAGCGUGAGUGACGGUACUGGGUAAAGAAGCCACGGCUAACUACGUG
rnacentral:rRNA from 1 species